UACGUAGGGGGCAAGGCGUUGUCCGGAUUUAUUUGGGCGUAAAGAGCGUGUAGGCGGUUAGGUAGGUCCGUUGUGAAAACUCGAGGCUCAACCUCGAGACGCCGAUGGAAACCAUCUGACUAGAGUCCGGAAGAGGAGAGUGGAAUUCCUGGUGUAGCGGUGAAAUGCGCAGAUAUCAGGAAGAACACCCGUGGCGAAAGCGGCUCUCUGGGACGGUACUGACGCUGAGACGCGAAAGCGUGGGGAGCGAACAGG
rnacentral:rRNA from 1 species